rnacentral:lncRNA from 1 species
GUCACAUGGCUGAUUGGUAGCCAUUUUGCUGAAGUUAAAAAAAGACACUUGAACCGUCAUCUUGACUAAAGAUGACCACAUGGAAAUUAGAGUUUAUAAUAUCAGACAGACUGCCAGAUCCUGACAGUGACCCAAAGUCUCCAAAGAAGAUUAUGAGGCACCUCAGCUCCUGCACCUGGACCAGUGAGCGAGAUGCUCAGAUGUGAUACCUGCUGCCUGCCAGAAGCUGGCCGAGACUGUGGACAAAGCUGCUGGACACUGGAAAAUUGAUUGCACCCCCUUUGCCUAGACAAAACAAGGUCAGUCUUUUCCAUGUCCCUCUUCCACAGAGAAGAAAAAUCCUCUCACCUUAUAGGCCUGGCAAAGAUUGCUGUUCUUUGAGACAUCUGCCUCCAGCGCUAAUGGAGAGACUUGGCAGCUGCAGCUUAAACAAAAGAAUAACAUUUGGCGCCCUGGACUUGGGAAGGCUCUGCCCUUGAUACCCCCUCCACAUCCCGCUGGCGGGUACGUGUUGGGUCAAGGGCAUCCUUAUCACGCGGAUAAACAAUCCACAUUCCAGAUCACCGGUUUGCUGGGAUUCUACAUACAACACCGGACCCAAUUCGGUAAGGCUACCCCUUUCAGUCAGCGUAAACGUCUCCCUGAACCCGAGGGACUGACCGUUGAUCGUCCGGCACCCCUCUGGUGUUCUUGGAGGUGGGGGAGCACCCGG